UCCUCUUUCUUCAACCCGUACAAUCCCUCCCCUCCUCUCUCAGUUUGUGAUUCGGUAGAAAUGGAGGCUGGAGGCGGAGGAAUUUUAACGGCGGCGGCGUCUCCGCCGCCGUUUCUGAGUAAGACUUACGACAUGGUGGAUGAUCCGGCGACGGAUGCGGUGGUAUCGUGGAGCAAGAACAACAACAGCUUCGUCGUCUGGAACGUGCCGGAGUUCGCCAGAGACCUUUUGCCUAAGUAUUUCAAGCAUAAUAAUUUCUCCAGCUUCGUUCGUCAGCUCAAUACUUAUGGCUUCAGGAAAGUGGAUUCUGAUCGUUGGGAGUUUGCUAAUGAGGGUUUUCUUAAAGGUCACAAGCAUUUACUGAAAACCAUAAACAGGCGUAAAACAUCCCAUGCACAAAGCCAGCAACAAAAUGUUCAAACUCAGAAUCCCCCUGUCCCGUCUUGCAUCGAGGUCGGUAAGUUUGGGAUGGAGGAAGAGGUUGAGAGGUUGAAGAGAGAUAAGAAUCUUCUCAUGCAGGAGCUUGUUAGGUUGAGGCAGCAGCAACAAACAACCGACAGUCAAUUGCAGACUGUUGGUCAGCGUGUUCAUGUAAUGGAGCAACGGCAGACGCAAAUGAUGUCCUUCCUUGCAAAAGCUAUGCAAAGUCCUGGCUUUGUUUCACAGCUGGUGCAUCAGCAGAGCGACAACGGUAGACAUAUUUCUGGUGCUAACAAGAAAAGGAGGCUGCCAAAUCAGGAUGACGAAAUUUUAGCUCACAAGUUGAGUAGUACAUUGCCCGAUGGACAGAUUGUCAAAUACCAGCCUUUGAUGAAUGAAGCUGCGAAGGCAAUGCUAAGACAAAUCAUGAAAAUGGAUACAUCAAAUAGGUCCGAGUCUAAACUGAGCAGUCCUAAUGGUCUCUUGAUUGAUAGAGCACAUUCUCCCCCUGAUUUGUUAGAUAGCAGUAGUUCAUCCAGUAGAAUAUCAGGAGUGACUCUUUCAGAGGUUGUACCCAAUACCUCAUCCUUGUCUGAGGUCCAAUCUUCCUCUUGUGUGACACAUGCUAGUUCUUGUAAUACCCUCUUUCCGGAGGCAAGCACAGGGGUACCUGAUUUCAUUCCGACACAAGUAAUCAGUCCAGGAAAUAGUACCGACCUUCCUAAUAGACCGUUGAAGGGGCCGGAGCCUACAAAUUUCAGUUCUGUUGAUGCACUUCCGGGGUUUGUUGAUGCCCCUAUACCUCCUCCGUCAGAUGAGCCUUUAGAAGAUUAUGACGUUGACAUCUUGCUCGAUGACAUCCAUAAGCUGGUAGGUAUGGAUGAUGAUACGCAUAAGCGGCUGGGUAUAAGUGAUGAUAUCCGUAAGUUGCCGGGUAUUAGUGAUAAUAUUCAUAAGCUUCCGGGUAUAAACGAUGUAUUCUGGGAACAGUUUCUUCCUGAGACCCCCAAUACUGAAACAACAGACGAGAUAAUUACUGUUGAUCUUGGACAUGAAAUGAACACGGAUCAAUUGAUUGAACUAGAAAGCGAAUGGGACAGGCUGAAUAGUUUGAAUAAUCUUACUGAACAGAUGGGGCUUCUUGCAUCAACUGCGAAGAUCGGUUAACAAAGCAUCCGCCCAUAGAAACCACCCCUUUUAGAGCUGGGCGUACCAUCAGGCUUGGAUACAAAGAUACUCUACCAAAUAGUGUGGACGAUUUGUUGCGAGUCGGCCUUGUUGACUGAGUUGAGUCAAGGGCAUCCGCAACGUGGGGGUUUCGUCACCUCCCGGGGGGACUAGACAAGGGAGCAAGCGUCCGUCCCGUCCCCAGUGUUGCUUGGCCAAGGGACGAAUGUGAGCUGUCCCUCCAUGCGUCCAGCCUCCCUUAAUCAAAAUGUACCGUGAAGCACACUCGCGGGCUUCAUUUGAGAUUUUUUUUUAAUAAAAGAAUUCUAAGAUUUGAAUUAUGAAAUUUGGUCACAACAA